UACGGGGGGAGCAAGCGUUGUUCGGAUUUACUGGGCGUAAAGGGCGCGUAGGCGGGAUGGCAAGUCGGUCGUGAAAUCCUUCGGCUCAACCGAAGAACGUCGAUCGAUACUGCUGUUCUUGAGGGUUGCAGAGGAGACUGGAAUUCCCGGUGUAGCGGUGAAAUGUGUAGAGAUCGGGAGGAACACCGGUGGCGAAGGCGGGUCUCUGGGCAAUUCCUGACGCUGAGGCGCGAAAGCGUGGGGAGCAAACGGG
rnacentral:rRNA from 1 species